UCUGGAAGACCAUGUGCAUGGUGAUGUUGAACUCUUCCUGUGGUCUCAGCAACGUUGGGCCAAACACGAUGGCCAUACUUUGGACAGACAUGCGGUUCUGCUCACCAUGUUCAAUCACCCUGUGGGACAGAUGGGACAGUAACACUCACGAAUGGCAGCGAUGAACCUAUCAAAAAAGCUGAAGGGGAAAAGAGGCUCAGGAAGUUCCCGCAGAAAAAGCUUCAAAGCUCCUGUGAUCACAUGGAUCUCUUCCCACUGCCCAUCCUCCAGAUCCAGAGCCUCUUCUACAGAAAGAAAAAGGAAUAUAAAGUUUUAUAUAGUCAAUAAAAACAGCAUUGUUUAUUCACCACUGCUAUAAUAAAUCAAUUCUGAA